UUUAUGGAGAGUUUGAUCCUGGCUCAGGAUGAACGCUGGCGGCGUGCCUAAUACAUGCAAGUCGAGCGAACGGACGAGAAGCUUGCUUCUCUGAUGUUAGCGGCGGACGGGUGAGUAACACGUGGAUAACCUACCUAUAAGACUGGGAUAACUUCGGGAAACCGGAGCUAAUACCGGAUAAUAUUUUAAACCGCAUGGUUCAAAAGUGAAAGACGGUCUUGCUGUCACUUAUAGAUGGAUCCGCGCUGCAUUAGCUAGUUGGUAAGGUAACGGCUUACCAAGGCAACGAUGCAUAGCCGACCUGAGAGGGUGAUCGGCCACACUGGAACUGAGACACGGUCCAGACUCCUACGGGAGGCAGCAGUAGGGAAUCUUCCGCAAUGGGCGAAAGCCUGACGGAGCAAC
rnacentral:rRNA from 1 species